AUACAGAGGGUGCGAGCGUUAAUCGGAAUUACUGGGCGUAAAGCGCGCGUAGGCGGCUUAUUAAGUCAGAUGUGAAAUCCCCGGGCUCAACCUGGGAACUGCAUCUGAUACUGGUAAGCUAGAGUUUUGGAGAGGGAAGUAGAAUUUCAGGUGUAGCGGUGAAAUGCAUAGAGAUCUGAAGGAAUACCAGUGGCGAAGGCGACUUCCCGGCCAAAAACUGACGCUGAGGUGCGAAAGCGUGGGUAGCAAACGGGAUUAGAAACCCCAGUAGUCC
rnacentral:rRNA from 1 species